rnacentral:lncRNA from 1 species
CUAGGAUAGGAGCAGUGUGUACGGGGUUGUACAGCGAGGGAGCAAGAAAUGAUUUUUGCAGGCACGAUUGGGUUGGCAGACACGGUGUGGAUUGGCAGAGGAUAUACAGGCAAAGAGGGAACAGAGGGAGGCCUUCAGUGAAAGGCACACCAUCCUCACGCACACCACACCUCAUCACGCAACAUAGAGACUCCAAAUCUCUGCUCCAUCCAACCUGUAACCAACGGCAUCUCCUUUUUCGAUUCCAAUUCCUCCAUCACCACACCCG